AAAGAAUUAGUUAAUUUAUAACAUAGGUUUGUCAAGCCUAAAUUACAACCAGUAUUCUUUG
rnacentral:tRNA from 1 species